AUGCAAGUCGAGGGGCAGCAUGACUGUAGCAAUACAGUUGAUGGCGACCGGCAAACGGGUGCGGAACACGUACAGAACCUUCCUUCGAGCGGGGAAUAGCCCAGAGAAAUUUGGAUUAAUACCCCAUAGUACAACGGAGUGGCAUCACUUUGUUGUUAAAGAUUUAUCACUUGAAGAUGGCUGUGCGGCUGAUUAGGUAGUUGGCGGGGUAACGGCCCACCAAGCCUGCGAUCAGUAACUGGUGUGAGAGCACGACCAGUCACACGGGCACUGAGACACGGGCCCGACUCCUACGGGAGGCAGCAGUAAGGAAUAUUGGUCAAUGGACGAAAGUCUGAACCAGCCAUGCCGCGUGGAGGAUGAAGGUCCUCUGGAUUGUAAACUUCUUUUAUAUGGGACGAAAAAAGGGUUUUCUAACUCGUCUGACGGUACCAUAUGAAUAAGCACCGGCUAACUCCGUGCCAGCAGCCGCGGUAAUACGGAGGGUGCAAGCGUUAUCCGGAUUCACUGGGUUUAAAGGGUGCGUAGGUGGGUUGGUAAGUCAGUGGUGAAAUCUCCGAGCUUAACUUGGAAACUGCCAUUGAUACUAUCAGUCUUGAAUAUUGUGGAGGUCAGCGGAAUAUGUCAUGUAGCGGUGAAAUGCUUAGAUAUGACAUAGAACACCAAUUGCGAAGGCAGCUGGCUACACAUCUAUUGACACUGAGGCACGAAAGCGUGGGGAUCAAACAGGAUUAGAUACCCUGGUAGUCCACGCCCUAAACUAUGGAUACUCGACAUUUGCGAUACACAGUAAGUGUCUGAGCGAAAGCAUUAAGUAUCCCACCUGGGAAGUACGAUCGCAAGAUUGAAACUCAAAGGAAUUGGCGGGGGUCCGCACAAGCGGUGGAGCAUGUGAUUUAAUUCGACGAUACGCGAGGAACCUUACCUGGG
rnacentral:rRNA from 1 species